rnacentral:rRNA from 1 species
AUUGAACGCUGGCGGCAGGCUUAACACAUUCAAGUCGAACGAUGAUUAUCUAGCUUGCUAGAUAUGAUUAGUGGCGGACGGGUGAGUAACAUUUAGGAAUCUGCCUAGUAGUGGGGGAUAGCUCGGGGAAACUCGAAUUAAUACCGCAUACGACCUACGGGUGAAAGGGGGCGCAAGCUCUUGCUAUUAGAUGAGCCUAAAUCAGAUUAGCUAGUUGGUGGGGUAAAGGCCCACCAAGGCGACGAUCUGUAACUGGUCUGAGAGGAUGAUCAGUCACACCGGAACUGAGACACGGUCCGGACUCCUACGGGAGGCAGCAGUGGGGAAUAUUGGACAAUGGGGGCAACCCUGAUCCAGCCAUGCCGCGUGUGUGAAGAAGGCCUUUUGGUUGUAAAGCACUUUAAGCAGGGAGGAGAGGCUAAUGGUUAAUACCCAUUAGAUUAGACGUUACCUGCAGAAUAAGCACCGGCUAACUCUGUGCCAGCAGCCGCGGUAAUACAGAGGGUGCGAGCGUUAAUCGGAAUUACUGGGCGUAAAGCGAGUGCAGGUGGCUCAUUAAGUCACAUGUGAAAUCCCCGGGCUUAACCUGGGAACUGCAUGUGAUACUGGUGGUGCUAGAAUAUGUGAGAGGGAAGUAGAAUUCCAGGUGUAGCGGUGUAAUGCGUAGAGAUCUGGAGGAAUACCGAUGGCGAAGGCAGCUUCCUGGCAUAAUAUUGACACUGAGAUUCGAAAGCGUGGGUAGCAAACAGGAUUAGAUACCCUGGUAGUCCACGCCGUAAACGAUGUCUACUAGCCGUUGGGGUCCUUGAGACUUUAGUGGCGCAGUUAACGCGAUAAGUAGACCGCCUGGGGAGUACGGCCGCAAGGUUAAAACUCAAAUGAAUUGACGGGGGCCCGCACAAGCGGUGGAGCAUGUGGUUUAAUUCGAUGCAACGCGAAGAACCUUACCUGGUCUUGACAUAGUGAGAAUCCUGCAGAGAUGCGGGAGUGCCUUCGGGAAUUCACAUACAGGUGCUGCAUGGCUGUCGUCAGCUCGUGUCGUGAGAUGUUGGGUUAAGUCCCGCAACGAGCGCAACCCUUUUCCUUAUUUGCCAGCGGGUUAAGCCGGGAACUUUAAGGAUACUGCCAGUGACAAACUGGAGGAAGGCGGGGACGGCGUCAAGUCAUCAUGGCCCUUACGACCAGGGCUACACACGUGCUACAAUGGUAGGUACAGAGGGUUGCUACACAGCGAUGUGAUGCUAAUCUCAAAAAGCCUAUCGUAGUCCGGAUUGGAGUCUGCAACUCGACUCCAUGAAGUCGGAAUCGCUAGUAAUCGCAGAUCAGAAUGCUGCGGUGAAUACGUUCCCGGGCCU